GGAGCACGAGAGGCAGGGGAGCACCAAAUUUCAGCACUGCACAGGGCACCACUGAAAUUUGAGAGCCCAAAGUCCACCACUGCCUUUACAGAUGGCCCCAUCGAUUUCUCUCACCCUCUGUUUGUAUGGAGGUGAGUCUCCCAGAGCUAUGGUCAUAUGAUUGAUACGAGAUGACCCAAAGCUUAUUUUGUGGUACAGGGCUAUACUAAAGCAGGCUCUUUCUUUGUCCCCAGUGCAAAGUAAUGGGACACCAUGGGACACCAUGCCUGAAAGCAUGGCAAAACAUUAAGACAGAAAUGUUGCUAGGACACUUCUAAGGAACAUCUUCCCUGUGGCAUGGAAACAUGGUUCGGAUGGCCCGAGGCUUAAUAAGCGAUGACGACAUUUUGUUCAGGCCCCAGUUCUUGAUUUGGGCUCCACCUAAGGACAUAUGAGGAGCUCUGCUCAGCCAGGCCAAAGGUCCAUCUAGUUCAGUAUCUCAUUAUCACAGUGACCAAUCAGAUGCCUAUGAGGAGCUCACAAGCAGGAUCUCAGUCCAACAGCAUUCUCUACACUUGUGAUCCCUAGCAAUUGGUAUUCAGAGGCAUACACUCUCCAACAGCAGAUGCAGAAUGCAGCC